CACCUAUAUACGGGUUUUAUUGUGUAUGAAUGCGUAAAGUUCGAAAAUCUCCCAUAAAAACGGCGUGCAUCCGCAAUCCGAUUUCAAAAAGUGCAUGUGGGUAUACACCUACUUAGACAGGCGCCUUCUUAUAUACCUCAGGGAUACGUGUCCUUGCGCGCAUAAUUUGCAGUUUAAUGAAAGCGUGACAUUUUAUUGUAUUUAUUCAGCGAUUAUUUUAUAUGGGCGUUUAUAAGUAAUAAGCUGACAGCAGAAAACAUAGUCUACAUCAGAGUUGGACCACGAUAUCAAACUCCAAUGGAGGAUUGACUUCAUCAUCAUGGUUA